UGUAAUGGGAGACCAUAAGUGGUGUCUACGGAAGGGGAUGUCAUGUUUAAGAAGGAUAAUCUUGGCAAAGGAAAUUUACUUUUAUGAAUUUCAUUCAUAAAAGGGCAUGUUUAAUUUACUCUAUAGAAGCCAAAAUGCUUUGUCAGGCAGCUACUCUAAGAUGAGAUAGUCAAGUGGUUGGAACCUCCAGUAGAGAAAACCUUUACCCAUGUAUCAUGUCAUCAAUGAAACUUAAGUUUUACAUUAGGCGAACCUGUGGCGCGGUGAAAAGUAUACUGGUCUAAGAGGAGGAAUCUGAGUUGAAGUCCUAGCUCUGCUAUUUAUUCCCUAUGUAACUGGGAUUAAGUCACUUAAACUUUCUGGGUCUCAGAUUUCUUAGCUAUAAAAUGAAGAUAAAACUUGUCCUAUAACACUUAGCUAUUGUGUGUAAAUGAAAUAAUCAUGUGAAUAUACUUGAAAAGUGGUACAUAAAUGAAGAUGUGUGUAUAUGCUCUGAUUUCUAGCUCAUUAUCAGAUAAAUCACAUAGCCCCUCAUUUGGUUUUCCAAGGAUCCUCUGGUCAACAAAAGGUUUGCUGAGAGAUAAAGACUAAUUCCUUCCUUUGUAAAAUUUACAAAAUUGUCCCAAAGCGUUUCUUAGCAAAAAGAGAUGGUAGUUAGUUCACUAUUCACUGUAAAUUCUCUUGAUUUCUAUAGAGUGGCCAUAUUUUACCCAUUUUUCCUUCUAUUCCUUUCACCUUGGAAUCUUCUAUAAUACCGAGGAUUGUUCUAACCACGUGACUCAAAUAGGAUCUGCUAUAAGGACUGAACAGGUGAUUGUAUGUGACAAAAACUAGGUAUCAAAAUUGUUCUCUGCAGUAUGUCAAAUUUGAACCAAGGAGCAGGAGUUCCUUCCUUUAGAUGACAUUUGCUGUUGCUGGAGCAUUAUGAAAAUAGUGGUCUACAAUAGAUAAAAUGCAGCCAACAUACAGAGCGAAUCAAAUGCAGUUGAUGGAAAAAGCUUCUGCAGUGGUGCCUAGAACCACACGUGACUAAAGCCAUAUUCAUCUUCCCUUUCCUGUGAUUUGAUUUACAAACGUAUACGUUCUUCUAGCCUUAAUCUCACUGAUGUCAAUUUCCACCAUUUACAAAUUUUAAAAAAGUCCAUCACACAUUAUGAGUUGUAUUUUAUUUUAGUGGACACUUACUUGCUGUUGUAUUUUGAGCAAGUAUGGUAAUUUUAAAACAUGGCCCCAAAAUAUUUUGACAUUCCUUUCAUCAAAAGAUAGCUUUUAUGUCCCUUUCCCUGAAGUCUUGGUGGGCUUCUAAUUACUUCAACCGAUAGAGUAUGGAGGAAGCGAUGCUGUGUAAUUCCUGAUGCUGCUCAGAAGGGUCAGGUCAUUUCUACUUGAUCUUGUGCAACACUUUAUCUGGAGAGGCUGUCCAUCAUAUAAGAAGUAGGGCUAUCUUAAGACCACCAUGCUAUAGAGGCUACAUGUAGGUAUUCUGGUCAACAGUCCCCUGAGAGGUCCCAGUUGACAGCCAGUCACAUCUGCCAGUCAUUAAGUGAACCAUCUUGAAAGUCCAGCCCAGUCUAGACUUCCAAGGACUGAAGACCCAGUGGCUACUACCAACAAAUUGACUAUGAGUGAGAACUGCAAGUUCUUUUCCUGACCAAAUACUCUGGGUGACAUAGAAAAAAGAAAAACAAAGUUCUUUAAAAUCCCUAAGUUUGGAGGCAAAUUCUUAUGCAGAGUGACAAGUUACUUAAAAGCUUUGAGGAUUUUGGAGAUCAUCUAUAAAAUUGAGGUAACAUUCCUCUUUAGAGUCAAUUUAAGAAAUUAAUGAGAUGGAACCUGAAAGGUACCUCACAGUGUAUCUCUCUGUCACGGACUCUCAAUAAAUAUCCCUCUCCUUACCUUCCUCCCAGUGAGAUUAUCUAAAUAAAAGGGAUUUUAUAGACUGUAGGAAGUUUUUCCAAUAUUUAUUAUUGUCUUCCUGGACCCAUUGUCCAAAAAAUAUAUUCCCAGAAAACCCAGUCAGUCACUGGUCUGAGGCAUACUCAGAAGCUUUCUCUUAUUGUUGGAUCAUUUAUCCAUAGCCUUUCUUCAGUGUCCACAAGUUCUUAGUGACCAUCAUGUUUACACUAAUGUUCCAUUUCUUUCUUCUGUAGGGAGUACUUAAAGACAGAGAUGAUGUUUUGCAAAAUAAUCAUUUAGUUCUAUAAGUAGAUCAACAAGUCAUAAAUGCUUGUUGAAGUUCAAGGGUAGAUAUUUGAAUUUUCCAUGGUAGGAGUAAAUCAUGUACCUCAUUAGAAUCAAGAACAUGGUUGUUUUGUUCCCUACAUGCUGUCUUCUUGUUCUACCAGUUUAUGAUAAUUUUGUUUUGUUUUGUUUGUUUUUGUGUAAAGUGAUGUCAAAAGAAGCUAUCAUGAUUUCUCUUUGCUAUCAAGUUAAAAGGAGAAGGGUUCAAGGCUUCUGAUGAGAAAAUCACAUCAGCCAGAGAAACUGACAGUAAUCGGAACAACUCCUUUCUCAAGUAAAAAAAGCCUUAGAUUUUAAAAAGAAAAAGAAAUGAGAAAGAAUGUAUGUAAGUAGACAAAGAUAAUGAAACCUUUCUCAGCUGUCUCUAACUCAUGGACACGUCAAGAAAUUAAGAGACAUUUCAUGAUGAGCUGGAGUAUUAGGACUAUAUUUGCUGAAUUUAUUUUUUCAUGGUUCAAUGAUGAAACAGUAAAUUCCACAAAUAGAUUUCAAGUUUGGUCAAGCAUUUUGGCUUUUGAACAUUAAUCUCCUGAGCAGUGAGCUCUGUACAUGCCUGGGAAGGUUCAACACAACAAUGACAUGUGACAGCCAAACAUCCAAGCACUGAGCAAUUUAGAUUCUCAUAUCACCAAAUGGGAUUUUGUGGGUGGAGGAGAAGGAAGGACCCGAAGUUAUUUUGCUGUUAUUCUGUUACAGCUCUUUCUUCUCUGUGUUGAUGCUGCCAAAAGCUAUGCUGGCAGCACACUGGAUUUUCAGUGUUUAUAUUAACUCGUCUUAAUCAAGGAAUCCUGACUUAACCUUAUUCUUUCUCACAGACACAGUUCAAUGCUGCAAUGGAGCCUGUGGUGAGCACUGAUUCAAUAGGUGGUUUGCCUCCUUAGACGCAGAAUCACAGGACUAGAAGGAGUGAAAACAACACUUUAUCUCUACAUUGGCUUCAGGGAGGACAGUGCCCAAACCACCUCAAGUACAGAAUAAUUUACUCUCAUUUAGAAGAUCUCCAGACAGAGCUCGAAUGGCUCCCUUGGCAACAAAUUUUAGUUUUAACAAUCUUUGUAGCUUUAUCCUUCCCUCCAGAUAAUGCCAUAACUGUGUACUCUAGAUUAAACGUUUUCUCCUUUUCUGCCCACAGUGCUUUUGAAGCCAAACAUGAUUUCACAUAUAGUGUUGGGUCAUCAUUAAGUCACCUUUCAGAAGUCCCUCUAAAUUAAGGAGUCCUCAUCCUUUCCUUAAAUUUUUCAUGUGUCCUGACCUAUGAGAAUCUGUUAUACGCAUGUUUAAUUUCUAUGGAAUACCUCAUCAUACAACUUGAAAUUCUGAUUGACUAGUGGUUUUUUUCCUGCAUAAGUGCUACUUCAUCUAUGCCUCAGUAACAAACAACAACAAUCACUUAAUGGAAAUGGUGGCAGGCAGAAUUCUAAGAUAGCUGCCAGAUUCCUGCCGCCCCUGGUGUGCAUUCCUUGAUAAUCACUCUCCUUUGAGUGCAGGCAGACCUGUGUGUAUGAUACCACUGCUAUGAUUACAUUGCUCAUCAGGCGACUGUGAGCUAGCCAAAAUGGAGAAUAUUCUGGUGGGUCUGACCUAGCCAGGUGAGCCCGUUUCUGAGUCAUAGAGAUUGAAAGUGUGAGAGGGAUUUGAUGUGAGGGGGAAUUCUCUGUUGCUGGUUUUGAGUAUAAAAGGGGCCAUAUAAUAAAGACUUGAGAGUGGUCACUAGUUGCUGAGAUCCAUCCCUAAUUGAAGCUAGCAAGAAACACUUCUACCAACAACUUGAAGGAAUUUGGAAAAGAAUCCUUCCCUAGUCAAGUCUCUAGAGGGGAAUGCAGCUAACUGACACCUUGAUUUCAGCCUCGUGAGACCCUGAACAGAGAUAUCAACCACUCAGUUGCCUGGACCUCUGACAGAAAUGAAAGAUAAUAAAUGUCUGUUGUUUUAAGCCACUAAGUUUAUGGAAAUUUGUUACACAGCAAUGGAAAACCAAUAUAGGCCCCUAUCCAUGAGUUACAUUGUAGUAAACACCUUUCCUACAUUAUAGAUAUCUCAUCUAACUCCUACAGCAACCCUUGAGGUAAUCACUGUGUCCAUUGUCAGAGCAAGAAAACUGAAGCUCGGCUUCAUAAACAGAAGCAGCAAGGAUUGAUUCCUUAAAUACUGUGAAUUCCACUCUCACUUUAUUUGAAUUUGUGACAGUGAAAUUCACAGUAUUCUUUAAACAUUUUACCCCCAAGCGAUGCUCUUUCCUCUGAAUUGCUUUGCCUGUCCUAAUAAUUUUAUUUAUACAGGCUGAUGCUGGUGACUUGGGAAUAGUAUUUUUAUCCAAACCAUUUGGCUUCUUAUAGGUAUGAGCCACUGAGGGAGCUAUUUUUUAUUUAAUUGUGCUUUGGAAAAAUCAAACGUAGCCUUGAGUUUUAAAAUUAUUAAGCUUACACUUUUUCACAAAAUAGAAAUGGAGUAAUAUAGCUCUGUCCUUCCGUUUUUUAAAGCCAAAAAAUGUAAGAAUGGAAUGUACUGGCUCACUGCUCCCACGGUGUCCUUACCAGCACAACUUACCCCAUCCCUCCCUAGCCCACUCUUGAGGAUACUUUCUUGCCACUGUCAGGCUUACUCCUGCCUCCUAGACUGAGGAAAGAAAAGCCUCCUGGUUUGGAGCUCAUAAUCAAGUCAGCCUUGCUGCAGGGCUCAUUUUAAGCCAGUAUCCUGGACCAGAUAAGGAAGCUGAAGCUUUGAGAAUUUAAUUUGCUCAAGGGGAGGCCAGGACAAGAAAUAAUGAAGAGUCCGAUGUGGCAGGAAUGUAGGAAACAAGUCAAUGAUGGAAGAUAAAUAUGGAGACGUGAUGAAGGCAAAAUUCUGAAGGGUCUUAGAGCCCAUUAUAAGACGUUUGGUUUUUAUGAAUAUUUCACUGAUUGCCUUGCCCGCUUCUCAAAGGCCCACUUCUCUGUGGAAUGAUGCAGUUGCUAAGAAGAGCUGUUAAUGUCAUGACCUCAAUGAAUAAAAAAGACUUCCUUUUCUCCAUGCCCACUCAAGUAAAAGGCUUCUCUCUGAACUCCUGCUAAUUUUUCAUCAGCAAAGGUGCACAGCCUUUUGGAAGUGAAAUGAUUACUAGUGAAGAAAAAGAAAGAACCUAACACUUAUUUUACAGUAAGUAGCAAGUUGAUCUCCAUUAGGGUCAACCCUCUGGGGUGCUCUGGCCCUUCCCUUUAUGUUCUGAGACAGAUACAUCCCUGAGAAAAUUCUAGUCUCUUCUAAUCCUGGAAUAAUUUAGGGAAGCAAGUCUUGAACUUCUUCCAUCAAAGCCCAAGAAGUAACCAUAAAAGAUGUCUUAAGGGUUCUAGAAACACAUCACCAAGGGGAUUGGAUAAAAAUGUGAAAUUUGUUUAAAACCUGAAAUGUUCACUUUUAAAAAGCAUGCAAAUUGUGACUACCCUUCCACAAUGUAUUUGUUUUACUGCAAAAAUAAUUUAAAUGUCUUUCAGAUUAAAUUAUGAAAAUAUUUACCUCCAAAUUUUGGCAUGAAGUUAAAACUCCUGGAUAAUGUGCUAUGUUUAUUCUGUGGGUUUUUAUAUCCCUGGCACACUGCCAUGUAUCUUGCCGAAUAGCCAAAUAUUAGGAUAUUAUACUACCCUGAUGAUUUUGCUAAAUAAUUAUUAUGCCAAACAAGACAGUAAUUCAAAGAAGGACAAGUGUCUGAACUCUUGUUCUUUCAGAAAGCUUAAGAGUAGUAGUGAGUGCAUCUGCUGCGUGACUCCUGCAAUCUCAGCAUCUGUUUCUAGUUAGAGAGCCAGUGAGUAAAUUGAAUCAGGGUCACUGAAGCAGGUGUUCUUGGUGAAUUGCAGAGCCUCCCAGUGACCACUCUUCAGACAAAACUUCUUAUAAUAGCUUCCUUCCCUGAAUCUUUUGCGAAACAUCAAAUCACAAAGAGAUCUUAUUGUGAGUAUUACCUAAAAUUUUUUCCUGUCUUAUGUAGCAAAGAGGGAAGUCACUGAGUCAGCUUAGAUAUGUGUAUGUGUUCUAAAAAAAAUGAAUGUAUCCAUGUGACUUUUUUUUCUUU
rnacentral:lncRNA from 1 species